rnacentral:rRNA from 1 species
AUUGAACGCUAGCGGGAUGCUUUACACAUGCAAGUCGAACGAGUGGCGGACGGGUGAGUAAUAUAUCGGAACGUGCCCAGUAGCGGGGGAUAACUACUCGAAAGAGUGGCUAAUACCGCAUACUAUCGGAGUGGCCGAUAUCGGAUUAGCUAGUUGGUGGGGUAAAGGCUCACCAAGGCAACGAUCCCUAGCUGGUUUGAGAGGAAGACCAGCCACACUGGGACUGAGACACGGCCCAGACUCCUACGGGAGGCAGCAGUGGGGAAUUUUGGACAAUGGGGGAAACCCUGAUCCAGCCAUGCCGCGUGUAUGAGAAGGCCUUCGGGUUGUAAAGUACUUUUGGCAGGGAGGCGGUACCUGCAGAAUAAGCACCGGCUAACUACGUGCCAGCCGCCGCGGUAAUUC